rnacentral:piRNA from 1 species
UUGGCACUGGAGUGCACAUGGUACGGUUC